UACGGGGGGAGCAAGCGUUGUUCGGAUUUACUGGGCGUAAAGGGCGCGUAGGCGGUCAGCACAAGUCAGUUGUGAAAUCUCCGGGCUUAACUCGGAAAGGUCAACUGAUACUGUGCGACUAGAGUGCAGAAGGGGCAACUGGAAUUCUCGGUGUAGCGGUGAAAUGCGUAGAUAUCGAGAGGAACACCUGCGGCGAAGGCGGGUUGCUGGGCUGACUCUGACGCUGAUGCGCGAAAGCCAGGGGAGCGAACGGG
rnacentral:rRNA from 1 species